GCAUCCUACACCAAUCAGGAAGCUGCUGUCCAGCCAUGGAGGGAGAGGAGAAGCCAGCUCAAGAGGCUGACGUGGAACCCAUGGUAACAUCAGGGGCCUCAGAAGCAGUGCCAAGGGUGCUUUCUGGAGACCCUCAGAACAUCUCUGAUGUAGAUGCCUUCAACUUGCUCCUGGAGAUGAAACUGAAACGACGGCGUGAGCGUCCCAACCUUCCAUGUACUGUGACCCAGCUAGUGGCCGAGGAUGGCAGCAGGGUGUAUGUGGUGGGCACUGCUCACUUCAGUGAUGACAGCAAGAGGGAUGUAGUGAAGACUAUCCGGGAGGUGCAGCCUGAUGUGGUGGUUGUGGAACUCUGUCAGUACCGUGUUUCCAUGCUGAAGAUGGAUGAGAGAACUCUGCUGCGGGAGGCCAAGGAGGUCAGCCUGGAGAAGCUGCAACAGGCUGUCAAGCAGGUGCGCAUAUGAGCAGGCAGUGGGCUGUGGGACCCGACGCUGCUGCCUCUCUCUGUGAGAAGCCAAGACUGAGAGCUCAGAGUCCCCUCUGAGCUGCUGACAGGCUCCUCUCUGGGCUGGCCUUCUGAUCAGUGCCCUGGUUGCCUGCCCACUCCCUCCCCUGGGAGAGAAGAAAGGCUGAAAGAGGAGGCAGAAUGGGCUCAUGUCUGGACUCAUGCAGAUGUUGCUACUGAAGGUGUCCGCUCACAUCACUGAGCAGCUAGGCAUGGCCCCUGGUGGCGAGUUCAGGGAGGCCUUCAAGGAGGCCAGCAAGGUACCAUUCUGCAAAUUCCACUUGGGUGACCGACCAAUCCCAGUCACCUUUAAGAGGGCCAUUGCUGCACUCUCCUUCUGGCAGAAAGUCAAGCUGGCCUGGGGCCUAUGCUUCCUGUCAGACCCAAUCAGCAAAGACGACGUGGAGCGCUGCAAGCAGAAGGACCUGCUGGAGCAGAUGAUGGCAGAGAUGAUUGGGGAGUUCCCUGACCUGCAUCGAACCAUUGUCUCAGAGCGCGACGUCUACCUGACCUACAUGCUGCGGCAGGCCGCACGGCGCC
rnacentral:lncRNA from 1 species